ACGUGAAGCUCUGGUGGGUCUUGGAUAUCUUUACAGUUAUCCCAGUUUGUAUAUACAUCCAAAGAUGGUGCAAUACCAUAAAGUUUUACUUGGGUUAAUGUGUGUAUUAUGUUUAAGCCCUUGUGCAUGAUUGAAGCAGGUUCUUAUCGCACCGGAAAUAGGCGGGGCAAUCUCUGUUGUUUUUAGCGCCACCUGACCUGAGUUUAAUUACUGUAGUUAGCACCAAUAGCUCUCUGGUCAUGUUGCAUUCAAAAUUGCUGCUUUUCGCGAUUCAGAAACCCACGACUAACAGGAAACGCAAGCUCAUUAAAUGGCUUCAAAGUAAAAAGUUACUAGCAAGGAGAGUAAAGUGCUCAAGAUGUGGCCAUAAUAUGACAAUGGAGAGAAAUAGAAGACAUGUCGACGGUUUUCAUUGGUAAAUUAAACAAAUUACAGAUUUGAUUACAUGAUACACUGUUGAUCUUUUUUUCCAUGGAUAUUAUAGGUCUACAACCUAAAAAAGUCCUUAAAAGUUUUAAAUGUCGUAAAUACGGUUUUCCUAAUUAGCGUCUUAAAACGACUUAAAUCUAGAUUCGAUAGGUCUUAUUUGGGUGGUAUUACCACGAAAAAAAAUCCACAAAUAUCUGUCGAUAUCGAUAAACGUCUUCUAUAUAUAAAUUUGAAUCUGGCCGCAGAUGGAAAAACUUGGGUUGCCUAAUAUCACGCCGCCCCCACCUCCCCAGGCAGGAUGUGCAGACAUAAAAGUCAUCGAGGCAAGAAAACCAGCCGAUCAGUGCGAGCAGGGUCUCUCUUUGAGAGAUCAAAACUCAGCUUGUCAUCUUGGCUAAUGUUCAUUUACAGGUUCACUCAGGGGUUACGGAUCAGACAAAUUGAUAUGAUGCAAGAUGGCAUUGCAAAAAGCUCCAAAACACUCUCUAAGAUGGCUAGUAUCAUGAGGAAUGUUUGCCACUGUGCUAUGAAACGAUUCAGAAGAAGACAUGGACAGAUGAUUGGAAGUGCUCUGGAAUUUGCCGUUCUUGAUGAAAGUAACUUUCGUCAUAAAAGAAAGUAUGGACGAGGGAGAGCAUCAACAACAUGGAGGCGAAAGAAAUGGGUGUUUGGCAUUCUAGGUGUGAGGAAUAAACACAGACACCCAAUCUUGCGGCUUGUGAAAAGAAGAUCAAGAGCACACCUCGUUCCCAUAGUUGUGAAACAUGUGCGUCCAGGCACUACCAUUAUUUCAGAUGAGUGGAGAGCCUACAGGGGUGCUUUGGCCAGCAUGGGCUACAGACAUUUCACAGUAAACCAUUCACAGUGGUUUGUAGACCCACACAGUGGAGCUCACUCACAACACAUUGAAAGAGCGUGGCUGACAUACAAAACGAACAUAUGGAGACUAAGAGGGAAUAGGACAGAGAAGAUGCUAAAAGAACACCUCUCACUCAUAGAGUGGACUCACUGGCUUGGGGAAAAACAUAAGCAGGGACCACUUGGGCGCAUAAUAAAAGACAUUUGCCAUCAAUUUCCUGUUUAGAAGACAACAUGCUGAACAUUUGUAUUUUGUGUAAGACAUAAGUAAAAUAAAGGUUAAGAUACAAGUUA